GACGAACGCUGGCGGCGUGCUUAACACAUGCAAGUCGAACGAGUGGCGAACGGGUGAGUAAUACGUGGGUAACCUGCCCUCUUUUUGGGAUCAGCUUUUGAAACUGGGUCCAAUACCUAAUAAAGGUGGAUGGGAUCGCGGCCUAUCAGCUUGUUGGUGGGGUGAUGGCCUACCAAGGCGGUGACGGGUAGCCGGCCUGAGAGGGUGAACGGCCACAUGAGGACUGUGAUACGGCCCAGACGCCUACGAGUGGCAGCAGUGGGGAAUAUUGCACAAUGGGCGAAAGCCUGAUGCAUGGACGCCGCGAGGGGGAUGAAGGCGUUCGGGUUGUAAACCUCUUACGAGAUCGAACGGGUAGGUUGAGAAGAAGCGCCGGCUAACUACGUGCCAGCAGCCGCGGUAAUAC
rnacentral:rRNA from 1 species